CCUACGGUGGCUGCAGUGGGGAAUAUUGGACAAUGGGGGGAACCCCGAUCCAGCCAUGCCGCGUGUGUGAAGAAGGCCCUCGGGUUGUAAAGCACUUUCAGUGAGGAAGAACGCCUGGUGGUUAAUACCCAUCAGGAAAGACAUCACUCACAGAAGAAGCACCGGCUAACUCCGUGCCAGCAGCCGCGGUAAUACGGAGGGUGCGAGCGUUAAUCGGAAUUACUGGGCGUAAAGCGCGCGUAGGUGGCUUGAUAAGCCGGUUGUGAAAGCCCCGGGCUCAACCUGGGAACGGCAUCCGGAACUGUCAAGCUAGAGUGCAGGAGAGGAAGGUAGAAUUCCCGGUGUAGCGGUGAAAUGCGUAGAGAUCGGGAGGAAUACCAGUGGCGAAGGCGGCCUUCUGGACUGACACUGACACUGAGGUGCGAAAGCGUGGGUAGCAAACAGGAUUAGAUACCCCUGUAGUC
rnacentral:rRNA from 1 species